AUCACGAACGCCUCCCGCUCUUCUUCUUCUUAUAUAUAUAUAUAUACGCAGCAGGAGCCUCUCAUGGCAGCAAGCGGUGCCAUGCCGCUUCUGAAUCAACCAUAACGACAGCUCUUGAGCUCCGUCUUCUUAUGGGAUUUCGGUCCUUUCAAUCAAGCUCUGCUUUGCAGUUGGGUCAUUGAUUGAUUGAUUUUUCGUUCCGUUUCGCAAUUUUGAUUUGAGUUCUUCCGAAAAGUUUGAGCUUUGAUAUGAUUAUUGAGUGGGGAGUUGAGGUGCGAUGAUUAUAAAGAUAAUUCCUCGUUCUGACUCGCUAUUGCCAAUGGCAUGACAGACUCAUUUUACACCCAUAGAAUAUGAGCACCUCAACCUCUCCUUCCAGAUUGUUUCAUUUUAAUAGUUCUGUAUUAUUUGCGAAUUUCGUUUGAUUGAAGACGAUGAGUUUCUUGGAGUACCCAAGUGGAAAGCUUUCUUGUUGGAGUCGUACUAAGGACGGAUAUUUCCGGCCUAGUAAUAAGCUGAUCCUGGGAAUGACUGCCAUUGCAAACCUAAGAGAAGACAAUGGGAUUUGAAGAGAAUAACUGAUAUUCCUAUGGGCAAAUUGUCCAUUUUCAGAACAGCUUUCCAGGAAACGAUUUCCCGUUGUGAUUAUUGAUUAAUCCAAAUGGUUAUUGAGUUUUAUGGAGA